rnacentral:rRNA from 1 species
AAACCAGCACCUCAAGUGGUCAGGAUGAUUAUUGGGCCUAAAGCAUCCGUAGCCGGCUCUGUAAGUUUUCGGUUAAAUCUGUACGCUCAACGUACAGGCUGCCGGAAAUACUGCAGGGCUAGGGAGUGGGAGAGGUAGACGGUACUCGGGAGGAAGGGGUAAAAUCCUUUGAUCUAUUGAGGACCACCUGUGGCGAAGGCGGUCUACCAGAACACGUUCGACGGUGAGGGAUGAAAGCUGGGGGAGCAAACCGGAUUAGAAACCCGUGUAGUCC